rnacentral:lncRNA from 1 species
GUGUUGGAACAUUGGGGGUAUGAUGAGAGUAGAUGUGAGGCUAUGGAAAAAGGAGAUCAUGGAAUAUAUGAUGAUGAACUAAGGAGGAAACUGAGAAAGACAACAGAAGGGGCUAAAGAUGCAAGAGAACAUAUUUCCUUGGGAAGUUUGAGCCUAGCAUAGUUUGAAGAGAUGAAAAAGAAAAGUGAGGAACUGACAAAACCUCAGAAUGAACAAAUUUCUGCAUUGGGAAAUAGGAAGGAAGUGGAAGAAGAUCUAGGUGCUAUCACUGAGAAAAUUAGAGAAUUGGAAGAGGAUAGAGUUAGGCAAAGUGCUAUGAGGACCUAGGAAAAGAGGAAGAUAGAUGUUUUGGAAUAGGAAAAUGAACUGUGGUGGAAAUGGUCAAUAAACAACAAGAACUGAUCACCAGAUGCAUGCACAAGAACAGAUGGAGGCGAGGAAAAAAGAAAUGGAAGAUGUGGCUGCAGAGGAAUUUUAGAAUCUGGAACAUCUGAGCAAGACAGAAGUUACUAAUGCUUAUGUUGAACUUGUGGAUUAUGGAGGCAGUAAGAGUUUGUAGAACCCUUUGGAACAAAGGUUGGAGUGACUAAAAAAGGCGGAGACAAACAGGAUCAGCAGGGAGAAGGUCCAUCCAGAAAAAGUGACAGGAACUUGGACAAGAAAGAUGCUAGGAUUGAAGACCUGGCUAAAGAAAGAGUUGCUAAGAAGGACAACUAUGGUAAUCUCAAAAACCUUUCCCUUGAAAAAAAGCUUUACUUUCUAUGUGUGAGCUUAUUGGGGUGGAUUUGGGAUGCUCCAUUGAUAUGAUGGAUCAAAAUUUGGACCUGAUUGCCAAAAUGGAGUUGACCAGGAAAGACAUGUACUUACAGAAUAUUGCUAUUAAGAAUGAAAAGAAGGAAGACAGCUCUCCAGGUCCUAUUGACACCGGAGAUGCUCUGUUACAAGAAUUAUGCUCAGAUGAAGAUCAUUCUGAUGCUGAGAUAGAAACUGAUCAUUAUGGGCACUUGAAGAAAAUUUUCUCAAGUAGCUUUAAAAAGAAAAGAGGGACCCCUCGUAAAACCAGUGGGAGAUAACCUGUCUCUAUAGGGGGGUUGGGGAAAAACUAAAAGGAAAUCAUGAUUGGCAUGUUUUGGAACAUGAGGGGGAUAGGGCAGGACAUUAAGAAAAGAUUUAUUAGGGAGAUGAUUGUGGAAAACAAACUUGAUUUCAUUGGGUUGCAGGAGAAUAUUAAAUCUAAUUUUCUAACUCAGAAUUACAAAAUCUGAUUGGUGGGAAAAAAAAUCUUUGGGAAUGGAGGCCACCUGGAGGGAAGCCUAGUAGGCUCGUGGUGGGUGUAACUCUGAUAUUUUGAUAUUGAGCAGUAGAAAAGGGGGGUUUAUUGUAUUAGAAUUCAGUUGUAUGACAAAAUGGCAAAAUUCCAUUAGAAUUUAGUUACUAUAUAUGGUGAUGCCUAGAAUGAUGGGAAAGCAACAUACUUAGCUGAACUUUCCAGGGUAUAUCAAGAUAAUCCUUUACCGUGUGUGGUGGGAGGUGAUUUUAAUAUUCUUAGAUCCGGCUCUGAUAGAAAUCCAAGGAGCCUGAUCAUUGGAGCUUUUUGUUUAAUGCAAUUAUAGAUCAUGCAAGGCUUAGGGAAUUACCACUAAAUGGCAGGAAUUUCACUUGGGCCAACUGCCAAGCAGACCCCACAUUUGAAAAUUAGAUAGGGUGCUUAUAUUUGUCCAGAUUGGGAGGACAAAUACCCUCUAGCUAUGGUUACUGCACUGGAAAGAGAAGUGUCUAAUCAUACUCCCCUGAUCUUAGACACUGGGGAGCAAGCCUCCUCACAGCCAAUUUUCAGAUUUGAAAAUGCUUGGAUGUUGAGAGAGGGGUUCAUAGAAUUUGUAGAAAAAACUAGGGGAGAAAAUGUCUGGCUCAAGUGUUGACAUAUGGCAGAAAAAGAUGAGAAAAAUUAGGCAGAAAAUUAGAGGAUGGACCCUCAACACAGAUGCUUUAUAUAGGAAGAAGAAAUGGGAUUUGCUAGACAAACUGAAUGAGAUUGAUAAAAAUGUUUAAAUGGACUUUCUGCCCAUGAUAGAAAUCUACAAAAACAAAUGAAGAGUGAAUUAAAUGAACUACUUAAACAAGAGGAGAUGAAAUGGCUACAGAGAUAUAAAGAUAAAGAAAUCAAAGAAGGAGACCAGAAUUCUAGAUAUUAUCAUGCAAAGGCAAAUAGAAGGUGAAUUAAAAACUGGAUCAUUUCUUUGGAGCAUAAUGAUGGAUUAAUUGAGGGAGAGGAGAAUUUAAUGAAAUACAUUACUAUUUUUAUAAAACUCUCUUUGGGCAAGCUGAGAAAUCUGACAUCACUCUGAAUAUCUAGAAUGCUGAUUGCAUAUCACCAAAAGAGAUAGAUGAUAUUACCAAACCAUUUUCUCUUGAGGAAGUCAAACAUGUGGUAUUCUCCAUGGAAAAAAUAAAGGCACUGGACCUGAUGGUUUCCCAAUUGAUUUCUAUCAAUUUUUCUGGAAAAUGAUUAAAGAGGAUCUUAUGAAUACGAUUAAUAAUUUUCAUAAGGGGACUCUGGACAUAUCUAGAAUUAAUUAUGCGAUCAUAACUUUGGUCCCAAAAACCAUGGAUGCUAGGUAGAUACAAAAAUUUAGGCCAAUCUGUCUACUCAAUGUUAGUUUCAAGAUUAUCACUAAAGUGCUGAUGAAUAGACUUAGCAAAGUAGUAAAUCCAACUAUCUCUCCUGUCUAGACUGAUUUUAUUAAAGGUAGAUACAUCAUGUAGGGUGUGGUAAUUUUGCAUGAAGCUUUGAAUAUCAUCCACACUAAAAAACAGAAUGCUCUUCUUUUUGAAGUAGAUUUUGAAAAAGCAUAUGAUAAGAUCAAGUGGUCGUUUGUAUAUAAAAUGCUAAAACUCAAAAAAUCCCUGACCAUUGGUGUCACUGGAUUAUGCAAACCAUGAUGGGGGGCAUGUUGGAGUUAAGGUCAAUGACCAAGUUGGUCCAUAUUUCGAAACGUACAAAGGAUUGAGACAUGGGGAUUCCUUGUCUCCACUCCUAUUUGAUCUAGCCGUAGAUGCUCUGGCUAUUAUCAUGGACAAUGCCAGAAGAUAGGGCUUUGUGAAAGGGGUACUUAAUGAAACUUAUGCAACUAGGGUUAAUAUGCUGAUGAUACAAUUUUUCUUUUGCAAGAUGAUAAGGAGAGUGCUACAAAUCUAACAUUUAUCUUAACUGCCUUUGAACAAAUGUCGGGGCUAAGUUUUAAUUUCGACAAGAAUGAUAUAUAUCUGUUUGGAGAGGUUGUGGAUAAAACUGACUUGUAUCAGAAAAUUUUCACAUGUGCCCUAGGGAAAAUGCCUUUAAAAUACCUGGAACUGCCUGUCUCUGACAAAAGGAUUAGGAAUAAAAUGUGGAAAAUGUUACUGAAAAGAUAGAAAGGAGGUGUGCUUGUUCGCAAGGGAGGCUGCUGAACAUAGCAGGGAGAAUUAUCUUGGUACAAUCAUGCCUAACUAACAUACCCAUUUACAUGAUGUCUUUCUACCCGCUCCGGGUUGGGGUAAGGAAAAGGAUAUACUUCUUCAGAGCCGGAUUAAUCUUGCAAGCUGAUGAACAUAAGAAGAAAUGUCACCCGCUGAAUUGGAAAACUUGUUGCUUAUCCAAAUCACCGGGGGAGGGGGGGUUAUAAAUUUGGAUUGCUUUAAUAAAGCUUUAUUGGCCAAGUGGUUGUGGAAAAUUGAAAAUGAUUCUGGAUUAUGGCAAGAUAUAUUGUGGAGAAAGUAUAUCUAGGACAAAUGCAUCUCUAGGAUCAAACAUAAGCCCGGAGAUUCCCAGUUCUGGUACAACAUACUUGGGAUCAGAGAGAUCUAUUAUAAAUACAUAAAGAAAAAUAUUGGUGAUGGCAAAAAUACUAGAUUCUAGGAAGAUUUUGUCGGUAGGUGAUAAACCACUUAAAGAGGCAUGCCUAAAUCUUUAUUUCAUUAACAUGAAUCAUAAUAUUUUGGUGGCUGGCGUGCUUACUAAAGGAUGGUCGGUGUUUUCUUUUAGAAGAUCAAUGAAUGUAGAGGUAGCUGGUCUUUGGGAGAACCUUAAAUCUAGAUGUGAAGAGGUGGAUGUAUAUGGGGGCAGAGAAGGUCUUUGUGGAUGCUGAAUGCAAACAGAGUUUUCUCUGUUAAAUCCCUGUACCUCGCCCUGAUCAAAAAUGAAAUUGGUUUUCCACAAAAAUUUCUUUGGAAGGUCAAGGUACCUGCCAAAAUUAAGAUAUUUCUCUGGUUAAUGAAUAAAAGAAAUGUUCUAACCAAAGACAACCUUUUAAAAAGAGGAUGGAAAAGGGAAAUUUUGCAUUUUCUAUGGGUGUGAUGAGACAAUAGAUCAGCUUUUCUUUCCAUGUUCCGUGGCCAGACUGAUUUGGAAUUUACUUAAAUGUUCCUUGUGAUUUCUUUUGACACCUGUCACCCUAGAUGACUGUUUUGGCAGAUGGACUCUGACCUUUGCCAAGUCAGAUAGGGGAUUGAUGCUUGUUGGGGUCUCUGCUAUUUUAUGGACUAUUUUGGAAAUGUCAUAAUGAUGUGAUUUUUGAAAAAAAAAAGAAUAAAUGACCCUUUGGGUGUGGUGAAACUAAUAUGCAAUUGGAUAUUUGACUGGUCUAUUUUGCAGAUCAAGGGCCCAGAGAGAAGAAUCUUGCAGCUGGGAGCAAAGAUGGUCGAGCGGGUAGCAAAUGAGGUCUUCAGAGCGUCGCAGGGAUGGCGUCUAGGGGUGCCGAGGUUGGAAAACUGACAGCAACCCCGGCCGAUUCAGUUCCUCACGGGCUUUCACUUCACUUCGCUGGCCGGAUGCGCUCUUCGCUUUUGCCUUAGUUUGCUGUCUUUUGCUUUCUGUUAUCCCGAAUGUUGCUAGAUUUCCGUUUGUGCUCACUAGCUGAGUGCUGGGAUAUGAAAUCGGAGAGGGCAAGACUCUCUUCUGCUAUAAAAAAAAAAUCAGUCGUGAUGCUCUGAAUUUUGUCAUGUUUUUUACUUUUGAGGCACAACUCUAUUUCUUAGCUACUAAUCGUAUGAGAAAUUCUUAUUUCUAAAUCAAUCAAUGAUAUUCAAAACUAU